AAGGAAAUGGCAAACCACUCUAGCAUGUCUGCCAAGAAAGCCCCAAAAUGGGGUCAUGAAGAGUCUGAAAUGACUCUAUAGCAAUAAAUACAGGUAUCACAUCAAGAAAAGCUUCCUAACUGUCAGAGCUACAAAAAAUAGAUUAAGCUUCCUCCCAAGAUAGUAGGUUGCCCCUCACGAAAAAUCUUUUUUUUCUUUUUCUUGGUGAGGAAACUGGUGUUAAGUGACUUGCCAAGGGUCACACAGCCAGUACAUGUUUAAGGCAGGAUUUGCACUCAGAUUUUCUUGAAGCCAGAUCCAGCACUUUGUCCUUGGGCCACUAGCUGUGUAUAUUUGAUAUGUAUGCAUAUGGAUGUUUCUCAGGAUAGAAUGGAAGCCUCUUGAGGGCAGGGAUUGCUUUGGUUGUUUCUGUUUUGUUUGGCUUUCUGUUUUUAUCUUAUCUCUAGUGACUAGAAGAACCCUGUAGAGAGUUGGCUAUUAAAUACUUCCUAGCUGUUUGAUAGGUUGAUAGAAGCAGGCAUAUUUAGCCCAGAGAAGAAAAGACUUCAUGCAGGACUUGGAAGAAUGUCAUGUAGACAAGAACCAGUCAUGUUCUCCUUGAACCCAAAGGACAGAACCAGGAGCAAUGAGGUGCCCAGGGCAGAACAAGGGUCCUAUCAGUGAGAGCUGCUCUAGAGUGGAGGCUGCCUAGGGAGGUAUUGAGCAUGCCAUCCUUGGAGGUCUGGAGGACUACUUCUCAUUGAGGGGGUAGUGAAGACUCCUCUUCAGGGGUGGGUUCCACUAAGUAUACUCUGGGUCCCUUCUGAUGCUUAAAUUCUGUGACUCACCCUCUCUCACUCCUAGGCCUUUAAAAAUGAAUAGCUUAUCUCAGGCUGUGGCCUUGGAAUACCAGUCCUCUGGAGUCAUCAUACAGAUAUGGGUGUGUGAGUGUGAAUGUGCUUGUGUGAUUGUUAGGGCAUGAAGAGAUGGAUGGGAAAGUUUGUGAGGAGAUCAGAGAUGGGGAAGAGCUUGGGAAGAGGGCAAGGGGGCCAAGGGAAGUGGGAUUGGUGAGAGGGAGCAGGUUUGGUGAGGUAACAGGAGGGUGGGGACAAAGAUGGGUGACCAGCUGAGGGGGAGGAAGCCUUUGGGAGGUGGGUAGAAUGAGAGCUAUGACCCUUCCAUCCAGUCAUCAACUUCUUUCUCCAGACUCUUACUCCUCUGUUAGUUUCCACCAACAUGAGCCAGACGUCACCCAGAAAAUUCUUGGUGAAGUCUUCAGAUGACUUUGUCAGAGAGGCCUUGGACAGCAUAGGUGUCUCUAACUUCACUUCUGGGUGUUUCCUACACUCUGUCCACAGCUUGUUGCUGUGGCCCCUGACCUCCAACUCCAAAUUCAUUAUCCCAAUUCUUCAACCCCCUCUUCAGAGCAUUCAGAAGAUCCUGAAGAAGUUGUGGGAAGGAGGUGGGGGCUGAAUUGGAGACCCUUUGUUGGGGGAGGGGUGGUGACUGCUGCUGGUGGGACUAGGGGGCAAACAGACGGAUUUCAUCUAGUUGGCUCAUCCCUCUGUCCUGCUUUCUAGGUUCCCUUUGAGGAGAAACCCUAGCCCCAAGAAGCCGUAGCUAUAAAUUGUUAUAAUAAAUUGUUUUCUCUUUA